rnacentral:rRNA from 1 species
UACAGAGGUGGCAAGCGUUGUUCGGAAUUACUGGGCGUAAAGGGCGCGUAGGCGGCUUGGUCAGUCCCGUGUGAAAUCCCUCGGCUCAACUGAGGAACUCCACGGGAAACUGCCUGGCUUGAGUUCGGGAGAGGGAAGCGGAAUUCCGGGUGUAGCGGUGAAAUGCGUAGAUAUCCGGAGGAACACCGGUGGCGAAGGCGGCUUCCUGGACCGACACUGACGCUGAGGCGCGAAAGCUAGGGGAGCAAACGGG